CAGCUUUUCAACUUGAGAGUUUGAUCCUGGCUCAGAACGAACGCUGGCGGCAGGCCUAACACAUGCAAGUCGAGCGCACCUUCGUGUGAGCGGCGGACGGGUUAGUAACGCGGGGGAACGUACCCUUUUCUACGGAAUAGCCUUUGUAAACGAAGAG
rnacentral:rRNA from 1 species